UACGUAGGGCGCAAGCGUUGUCCGGAAUUAUUGGGCGUAAAGAGCGUGUAGGCGGUCCGGUAAGUCAGCUGUGAAAGUCAAGGGCUCAACCCUUGAAAGCCGGUUGAUACUGUCGGGCUAGAGUCCGGAAGAGGCGAGUGGAAUUCCCGGUGUAGCGGUGAAAUGCGCAGAUAUCGGAAGGAACAUCAGUGGCGAAAGCGGCUUCCUGGUCCAGCACCGACGUUCAGGCACGAAAGCGUGGGGAGCAAACAGG
rnacentral:rRNA from 1 species